UACAGAGGGGGCAAGCGUUGUUCGGAAUUACUGGGCGUAAAGGGCGCGUAGGCGGCCUUCUAAGUCGAACGUGAAAUCCCUGGGCUCAACCCAGGAACUGCGUCCGAUACUGGAAGGCUCGAAUCCGGGAGAGGGAUGCGGAAUUCCAGGUGUAGCGGUGAAAUGCGUAGAUAUCUGGAGGAAUACCGGUGGCGAAGGCGGCAUCCUGGACCGACAUUGACGCUGAGGAGCGAAAGCUAGGGGAGCAAACGGG
rnacentral:rRNA from 1 species